GUGCUGCUUGAUUUUGUGCAUCAAUUUUUUUUGGUGGCUUCUAGUAUCUCAUUCUCAAAGGUGUUCUAUUAUUGGUGGCCUUAUGACAAUCCUGCCUUUACAUGUGCCUAGGCCAAAAGUCUUCAUGCAUAUAUGAUGGGUGUGAGGCAUAUGACACAGAUGCACCCUUGUUGAUGUGUGAGCUAUUUUCUUGGGCGAUGUUCAUCAAUCUAGUUGAGCUCUUGC
rnacentral:lncRNA from 1 species